CCUACGGGAGGCAGCAGUGGGGAAUAUUGCGCAAUGAGCGAAAGCCUGACGCAGCGACGCCGCGUGAGGGAUGAAGGUCUUCGGAUCGUAAACCUCUGUCAGCAGGGAAGAACGGUCGCUGUGCUAAUCAGCAGUGAAUUGACGGUACCUGCAAAGGAAGCACCGGCUAACUCCGUGCCAGCAGCCGCGGUAAUACGGCGGGUGCGAGCGUUAAUCGGAAUUUCUGGGCGUAAAGCGCUCGUAGGCGGUAUGUCAAGUCAAGGGUGAAAUCCCCGCGCUCAACGUGGGAACUGCCUUUGAAACUGGCAAACUGGAGUGUGUGAGAGGAUAGUGGAAUUCCAGGUGUAGGAGUGAAAUCCGUAGAGAUCUGGAGGAACAUCAGUGGCGAAGGCGACUAUCUGGCACAUAACUGACGCUGAGGAGCGAAAGCGUGGGUAGCAAACAGGAUUAGAUACCCCAGUAGUC
rnacentral:rRNA from 1 species